rnacentral:misc_RNA from 1 species
UCUUUCUUACGAAAGCAGUUUCGUCUGACACGUAUAACAGACAAUGGGGGUUGCGCUCGUUAAUCCACUUAAGGAAACCAUUCACAUGACGAGCUGACGACAGCCGUGCAGCACCUGUCCAGCACCCUCGAAGGCGACUCCGUUUCUGGAGCUUGCAGCUGGAUUUCAAGCCUUGGUGAGGUUCCUCGCUUAGAGUCGAAUUGAACCACAUGAUCCACCGCUUGUGCGAAUUCCCGCCUAUUUCUUUGAGUUUUAAUCUUGCGAUCGUACUUCCCAGGCAACAUACUUAACGCGUUAGCUUCGCCACUGGAAGGGUCGAUGCUCCCAAUAGCUAGUAUGUAACGUUUAGGGCGUGGACUA